UACGGAGGGAGCUAGCGUUGUUCGGAAUUACUGGGCGUAAAGCGCGCGUAGGCGGCUUUGUAAGUUAGAGGUGAAAGCCCGGGGCUCAACCCCGGAAUUGCCUUUAAGACUGCAUCGCUUGAAUCCGGGAGAGGUGAGUGGAAUUCCGAGUGUAGAGGUGAAAUUCGUAGAUAUUCGGGAGAACACCAGUGGCGAAGGCGGCUCACUGGACCGGUAUUGACGCUGAGGUGCGAAAGCGUGGGGAGCAAACAGG
rnacentral:rRNA from 1 species